GACGAACGCUGGCGGCGUGCCUAACACAUGCAAGUCGAGCGGGGGGAGUACUUCGGUACAAACCUAGCGGCGGACGGGUGAGUAACACGUGGGUAACCUGCCUCAAAGUGGGGGAUAGCCUUCCGAAAGGAAGAUUAAUACCGCAUAACCCAUAGCUUCCGCAUGGAAGCAAUGGUAAAGAUUUAUCGCUUUGAGAUGGACCCGCGGCGCAUUAGCUAGUUGGUGAGGUAACGGCUCACCAAGGCCACGAUGCGUAGCCGACCUGAGAGGGUGAUCGGCCACAUUGGAACUGAGACACGGGCCAGACUCCUACGGGAGGCAGCAGUGGGGAAUAUUGCACAAUGGGCGAAAGCCUGAUGCAGCAACGCCGCGUGAGUGAUGAAGGCCUUCGGGUUGUAAAGCUCUGUCUUUUGGGACGAUAAUGACGGUACCAAAGGAGGAAGCCACGGCUAACUACGUGCCAGCAGCCGCCGUAAUAC
rnacentral:rRNA from 1 species